rnacentral:rRNA from 1 species
UACGAAGGGGGCUAGCGUUGCUCGGAAUUACUGGGCGUAAAGCGCACGUAGGCGGAUUGCUAAGUCAGGGGUGAAAUCCUGGAGCUCAACUCCAGAACUGCCUUUGAUACUGGCGACCUUGAGUCCGGGAGAGGUGAGUGGAACUGCGAGUGUAGAGGUGAAAUUCGUAGAUAUUCGCAAGAACACCAGUGGCGAAGGCGGCUCACUGGCCCGGUACUGACGCUGAGGUGCGAAAGCGUGGGGAGCAAACAGG